rnacentral:rRNA from 1 species
AUAGGUCUACGGAUCCUGGGUGUAAGGGUGCGUAGGCGGUUAUGCAAGUCAGAUGUGAAAUACCGAGGCUCAACUUCGGAACUGCAUUUGAAACUGUGUGACUAGAGUACAGGAGAGGUAAGUGGAAUUCCUAGUGUAGCGGUGAAAUGCGUAGAUAUUAGGAAGAACACCAGUGGCGAAGGCGACUUACUGGACUGAAACUGACGCUGAGGCACGAAAGCGUGGGGAACAAACAGGAUUAGAUACCCUGGUAGUCCACGCUGUAAACGAUGAAUGCUAGGUGUCGGCCCGAGAGGGUCGGUGCCGCCGUUAACACAUUAAGCAUUCCACCUGGGGAGUACGAUCGCAAGAUUGAAACUCAAAGGAAUUGACGGGGGCCCGCACAAGCGGUGGAGUAUGUGGUUUAAUUCGAAGCAACGCGAAGAACCUUACCAAGACUUGACAUCCCUUUGAAUACAGAGUAACUUCUGUAGGCCUUCGGGACAAAGGUGACAGGUGGUGCAUGGUUGUCGUCAGCUCGUGUCGUGAGAUGUUGGGUUAAGUCCCGCAACGAGCGCAACCCUUAUCCUAAGUAGCUAGCAGGUCAAGCUGAGCACUCUGAGGAGACUGCCGGGGAUAACUCGGAGGAAGGUGGGGAUGACGUCAAAUCAUCAUGCCCCUUAUGUCUUGGGCUACACACGUACUACAAUGGCUGCUACAAAGAGAAGCGAGACCGCGAGGUGGAGCAAAGCUCAUAAAGGCAGUCCCAGUUCGGAUUGUAGGCUGCAACUCGCCUACAUGAAGUUGGAAUCGCUAGUAAUCGCGAAUCAGCAUGUCGCGGUGAAUACGUUCCCGGGCCUUGUACACACCGCCCGUCACACCAUGGGAGCUAGAAGCACCCGAAGCCUGUGACUAAACCCGUAAGGAUAGAGCAGUCGAAGGUGAAGCUAGCGACUGGGGUGAAGUCGUAACAAGGUAAC